UACAGAGGGGACGAGCGUUGUUCGGAAUUACUGGGCGUAAAGGGCGCGUAGGCGGCCUUCUAAGUCGAACGUGAAAUCCCCGGGCUCAACCCGGGAACUGCGUCCGAUACUGGGAGGCUUGAAUCCGGGAGAGGGAUGUGGAAUUCCAGGUGUAGCGGUGAAAUGCGCAGAUAUCAGGAGGAACACCGGUGGCGAAGGCGGAUCUCUGGGCCAUUACUGACGCUGAGGAGCGAAAGCAUGGGGAGCGAACAGG
rnacentral:rRNA from 1 species